rnacentral:rRNA from 1 species
CUAAGUUACUAAGAGCUUCUGGUGGAUGCCUUGGCAUCGACAGGCGAUGAAGGACGUGUAAACCUGCGAUAAGCCUCGUGGAGUCGGUAAAAGACAUUGAUACGAGGAUUUCCGAAUGGGGAAACCCAGUGGGCUUCAUAGCUCAUUAUCAGUACGUGAAUACAUAGCGUGCUGAGGCGAUACCUGCCGAACUGAAACAUCUAAGUAGGCAGAGGAAUAUAAAUCAAACGAGAUUCCCUGAGUAGCGGCGAGCGAAACGGGAAGAGCCCAAACCCAAUGUUUACAUUGGGGGUUGUAGGACUUGCAACAUGAAAGUGGAUCUUUAGCCAAACAUCUCUGGAAAGUGAGGCGACACAGGGUGAUAGCCCCGUAGGCGAAAAAGAGAAGCAAUCUAGCGAGCACCUGAGUAGGGCCGGACACGUGAAACCCGGUCUGAAUCUGGGGAGACCACUCUCCAAGGCUAAAUACUCGUCGAUGACCGAUAGUGAACAAGUACCGUGAGGGAAAGGUGAAAAGAACCCCUGUUAGGGGAGUGAAAUAGAAUCUGAAACCAGUAGCUUACAAGCGGUCAAAGGCCUAUGCCCAUUUUAUGGGAAUGGCUAAUGGCGUGCCUUUUGCAUGAUGAGCCAGCGAGUUGCGUUAUAUGGCAAGGUUAAAGGACCUACGUUCUGGAGCCGAAGCGAAAGCAAGUGUGAAUAGCGCGAUAUAGUCAUAUGACGCAGACACGAAACCAAGUGAUCUAUCCAUGGUCAGGUUGAAGCAAAGGUAAAACUUUGUGGAGGACCGAACCAGUAUCUGUUGAAAAAGAUUUGGAUGAACUGUGGAUAGGGGUGAAAGGCCAAUCAAACUUGGAGAUAUCUUGUUCUCUCCGAAAUAACUUUCGGGUUAGCCUCGGUGUUAUGCUAUCUAGGGGUAGAGCACUGAAUUCACGCGGGGGCCUACCGGCCUACCAAAGGAAAUCAAACUCCGAAUACUAGAUAGCGAACCGGGAGAUAGACAGUGGGGGAUAAGCUUCAUUGUCAAGAGGGGAACAGCCCAGACCGUCGACUAAGGCCCCAAAUUCUAUGCUAAGUGGGUAAGGAAGUAAAGUUUCUAAAACAGUUGGGAUGUUGGCUUAGAGGCAGCAACCAUUUAAAGAGUGCGUAACAGCUCACCAAUCGAGAAACUUUGCGCCGAUAAUUAGCGGGACUCAAGUAUAGAGCCGAAGUCACGGGUGCACGCAAUAGCGUGUGCGGUAGGAGAGCGUAGUAUAGGCACAGAAGGUGUACCGUAAGGAGCACUGGAGCGUAUACUAGUGAUGAUGCAUGGCAUAAGUAACGAUAAAGGAAGUGAAAAUCUUCCUCGCCGAAAACCUAAGGUUUCCAGGGUAAAGCUCGUCUUCCCUGGGUUAGCCGGCCCCUAAGCCGAGGCGGAAACGCGUAGGUGAUGGGAAACAGGUUAAAUAUUCCUGUGCCACCAAAGGCUAUGGAGAUUGGAGUGACAAAGUACGUAAAGCACGCGAACUGUUGGAUAUGUUCGUAGGGCUAUGAGGGAGUCUAGUAGGCAAAUCCGCUAGAAUAAUCCUAGGUAGCUCUCAAGGGGAAUCUUCGGAGGAACCAAUGGUGUGGAGCUAGGCUUUCAAGAAAGAACUUCUAUCCGCUGUAGGUGACCGUACCAAAACCGACACAGGUGGGUGUGAAGAAUAUUCUCAGGCGCGCGAGAGAACUCUAGUUAAGGAACUCGGCAAAUUAUUCCCGUAACUUCGGAAGAAGGGAAGCCACAGGAUGUGAGUGAACUUGCUUCACAAAGCAUCAGGUGGCCGCAGAGAAAUGGCCCAGGCGACUGUUUAACAAAAACACAGCACUAUGCAAAGCCGCAAGGCGCAGUAUAUGGUGUGAUGCCUGCCCAAUGCCAAAAGGUCAAAGGGAAGUGUUAGCCUUCGGGCGAAGCACCGAACCCAAGCCCUGGUGAAUGGCGGCCGUAACAAUAACGGUCCUAAGGUAGCGAAAUUCCUUGUCGGGUAAGUUCCGACCUGCACGAAUGGCGUAA